AUUGAACGCUGGCGGCAUGCUUUACACAUGCAAGUCGAACGGUAACAGGCCGCAAGGUGCUGACGAGUGGCGAACGGGUGAGUAAUGCAUCGGAACAUGCCCAGUCGUGGGGGAUAACUACUCGAAAGAGUAGCUAAUACCGCAUACGAUCUAUGGAUGAAAGCGGGGGACCGUAAGGCCUCGCGCGAUUGGAGCGGCCGAUGUCAGAUUAGGUAGUUGGUGGGGUAAAGGCUCACCAAGCCAACGAUCUGUAGCUGGUCUGAGAGGACGACCAGCCACACUGGGACUGAGACACGGCCCAGACUCCUACGGGAGGCAGCAGUGGGGAAUUUUGGACAAUGGGCGCAAGCCUGAUCCAGCAAUGCCGCGUGCAGGAAGAAGGCCUUCGGGUUGUAAACUGCUUUUGUACGGAACGAAACGGCUCUGGUUAAUACCCGGGGCUAAUGACGGUACCGUAAGAAUAAGCACCGGCUAACUACGUG
rnacentral:rRNA from 1 species